rnacentral:rRNA from 1 species
GACGAACGCUGGCGGCGUGCUUAACACAUGCAAGUCGAACGAAGAGCGAUGGAAGCUUGCUUCUAUCAAUCUUAGUGGCGAACGGGUGUGUAACGCGUAAUCAACCUGCCCUUCAGAGGGGGACAACAGUUGGAAACGACUGCUAAUACCUCAUACGUUCUAAUCUCGGCAUCGAGGAUAGAUGAAAGGUGGCCUCAACAUGUAAGCCAUCACCGAAGGAGGGGAUUGCGUCUGAUUAGCUCGUGGGAGGGGUAACGGCCCACCAAGGCGAUGACAAGUAGCCGGUCUGAGGGGAUGCACGGCCACGCUAGGACUGCGACACGGCUCAUAUACCUUCAGGAGGCAGCAGUUGUGAAUCUGCCGCAAUGGACGGAAGUCAUACGGAGCAACGCCGCGUCGGCGGUGACUGCCUUCCGGUUGGAAAGCACUGUUAGUCUGGGCGAAAGGCCCCCUUGCGAAUAGUGUGAUGGAUUGACGGUACCAAAAAAGAAAGCCACGGCUAACUACGUG